rnacentral:rRNA from 1 species
CCUACGGGAGGCUGCAGUGAGGAAUAUUGGGCAAUGGACGAGAGUCUGAACCAGCCAAGUAGCGUGAAGGAUGACUGCCCUAUGGGUUGUAAACUUCUUUUAUAUGGGAAUAAAACAGGGUAUGCAUACCCUCUUGUAUGUACCAUAUGAAUAAGGAUCGGCUAACUCCGUGCCAGCAGCCGCGGUAAUACGGAGGAUCCGAGCGUUCACCGGAUUUAUUGGGUUUAAAGGGAGCGUAGGUGGAUUGUUAAGUCAGUUGUGAAAGUUUGCGGCUCAACCGUAAAAUUGCAGUUGAAACUGGGUGUCUUGAGUACAGUAGAGGUGGGUGGAAUUCGUGGUGUAGCGGUGAAAUGCUUAGAUAUCACGAAGAACUCCGAUUGCGAAGGCAGCUCACUGGACUGCAACUGACACUGAUGCGCGAAAGUGUGGGUAGCAAACAGGAUUAGAUACCCCUGUAGUC